rnacentral:lncRNA from 1 species
GAAGAUCCCCCAGCAUCCUCAUCCUUUUUCGUGGCGGCAUCCCAUCCACCACUUCCAGUUGCAGGAGCUGAACCCCAAGCUGACUUCCCUGCACCAUCAUUACUGCCGCCAGCAUUGCUGCCCCAUCCACCAGUUUCAGUUGCAGGUGCAGCUGCAGCAGCUGAGCCCCAAGCUGACUUCCCUGCACCAUCGUUACUGCCGCCAGCAUUGGCACCCCACCCACCAGUUUCAGUUGCAGGUGCAGCUACAGCAGCUGAUCCCCAAGCUGACUUCCCCGGACCAUCAUUACUGCCGCCAGCAUUGGCACCCCAUCCACCAGUUUCAGUUACAGGUGCAGCUGCAGCAGCUGAGCCCCAAGCUGACUUCCCUUCACCAUCGUUACUACCGCCAGCAUUGCUGCCCCAUCCACCAGUUUCAGUUGCAGGUGCAGCAGCUGAACCCCAAGCUGGCUUCUUCUCACCAGCAGCAGCAGCAGCAGCCUUUCCCCAUCCUCCCUCAUCUGAAUUUUCAGUUUUAGCACCACUUGAACUCGCUCCCCACCCACCACCAGCUUCUUUCUUUUCACUAGCAGCAGCUGCACCCCAUGCAGAAUCUCC